CUCUGCCCCUUGGUCCUUCCGCCUGGGCUGGGGCAACGCGCCCCCGCCCCCAUUUCCUCACCUUCCCGAGUGUCCUCGGAGCUCUGCGGAGAACGCGGCCGUUCCUUCCCGGGAGGAGGCUGCCGCUGCACUCCGCCUCGGGGGCGAGCCGGGCUCUCUCCCCCCGACUACUCCCAGCCUGGCAGCCCCUCGCAGGGCGCUUUGUUUUGCUGGGUCGGUGCUCGCUUGGCGUCCUUGCCACUGCCCCGUUUAUUUGCGGUGUUAUGUGGGGUGAUGGGUUGGAGUUGGGAUGUGAUGGAGUUGAGAUUCAGCGAAAUAAAAAUGACCUCCCCCCACGGAAAUAGCACAGCUUUACCCAGCUGAGACGCCCUCAAAGCCUGGCCUUGGACGGAGAUGGGAAACCCCACUUUGGUGUAGUGGAUAGUGUUCAGGCCGGUGGAUGAGUCAUGUGCUUUUGCCGAGUGGCUGGCUGACUUCCCUUUUACGCAAGACCACGCACUGUUUUUUGAAGUGUUUUUAUGUAGUUGUUUACUCAUUUGAUGUUUCAUGCAACCUGGUGGGGUUUAUAUUCUUGGCCCUUGGGUUCAUUUUUACCUGUGUGUUGGAUGCAAGAGGGGAUGACCUCUUGCAGUCCGUGCCUAAUGAGACUUGAAGUGUCUUUGCUUACCUUUGAGAGGGCUGUAGAUGUCCGAGUUUACAAAAACCCAGCCUCAGUGUACUUCUAAGACAGUGGCUCUUUGGUGCUAUAAUACAGUUGGAGAUUUUCAUGAAUGAGGCUGUCAAGUUCCUUAAAUUGUGAGCCCUUGGAAUUUGUAGUCCUUAGAAUUUGUAAAACAGGCGAUACUCAACAGGAUUUAUGAAUGUGCUUUCAGUUUCAAGGUUUUGGAUGGCACAGUUUUAUGACCUUGCCAGUAAUUUAAUAAAACAUUCCUUUCGUUUUAAUUUGGAUGGAGAUUGUCUUCCAGCAAGGCAUGGUAGAUAACCAACUCCUUCUCCCCAAAAGCUUCAACCUGGGGCAGGUAAAACUCUCAGAUGGUUUCAGCUUACCAAAUCGAGAAGGAAAAGUCUGGUCUGAAACAAAAUGCAUCCCCGUAUUACCCACCAUAUCCCCUAUCUUGGUAGGAAACAGUAUCUAAGGACUGAAGCUGUGGAGUAAAUGAGUCUUAGACUAUGUCUCCAAAAGUUAUCUUUUUGAGCCAGUUGUGAUCUUUGUACUAUUUUGCACUUCUGCUUUUGGUGGUGGUGGAUAUUUUCGUGUUACACAAAUCAGAUUAUUGAAUGCCUUCUCUUUUUUUCUAUUUUUCGUAUUUUUAAAAAAAUUAAAUUAAUUUUAGAGAGAAGGAGAAAGAAACAUCCAUCAGUUGCUCCCUAAUGCACCCGACUAGGAAGACUAGGAAUCGAACCGGAAACCUGGUGAGGAUUGUGGGGAUUCCUUGCUGAUGAUGACAUUUAACUCAUAAGGCAUGAGUUUAUGCUCUGGCUGGUGUUCUCUGUGGUUAGAGUGUUGUCCCAUGUCAAUUCCUGGUCAGGACAUGAGUGUGAGACAACCAGUGGAUUUUGUCUUUUACAUCAAUGUUUCUCUCUGUCUCCCUCUCCCAUUCUCUGGCUCUAGAACCAAUAAAAAGGCAUAUCCUUGGGUGUGGAUUUAAAAAAAGGCAUGAGUCUAAAAAUAAAAUUUGUCCUAAAUUAUUUUCUUUUUACUGGACUGUAAAGUUCCAUGAAGACAGGGUUUUGUUUGCUUCGCUUUGUCUAUUUUUAUUCUAUAUUGUAUCCUUAAUUCCUAUAAGAGCACCUAAAAUAUUCUUUGAGUGAAUAAACUGAAGAGAUAAUUGAGCAAGAAUUUGGGAUGUCCACAAUACCAACUGCAAAUAAUUCCUUUUAUGUUAAUAAAAUAUUGUUAACAGGGGACAUAAUUGGUCAGUAGGACUUACAAGGAAUGUGAAUUUUAACUAAGAUAACAUUAAGAUCUCUAAAAAUUGCAGUAAACUUAUUAGUAGUCCAGACAGUGUGGCAUGCAGUAUUUCUGUGCACUGUCUACUGUAUAUUUCCUACUUAGCAGUUUGAAAUGUGGUGAGUGUUUUUAGGCUGUGGUUCAACUCUGACCUGAGAAAAGUGUCUUAAGAGAGUGAUAAAUCGUGCCUAAUAAUAAACAGGUAUGGGUAGCAUUUCUUAAUGUGAAUCUCAUAUUGUCAAUAAAAACUUGAUUAAAAAAAA